CUCCUGAACCCCACAGUUCUUGGAUUACGCCACAAUUUCGAAAACUCGUUUUUUUUCUUAAUAACUGUAAUAAUAUUCGGUAUUCGGUCAUCGGAGCAUCUCGUACGUAGAUCCUUCUUUUCCGAAGAAACGGCAGUACGGCCGCAGCAGCCGAAGCGAGUGGUCAUCGGGAGCGACAUCGACGGUAGCGCCUACUUACAUCCUUGGAGAAGAGAAGGAAGGAGCUAGAGGGGAGAAAGAGUAAGAGAUACAUCGGGAUUUAUACUCGACGGACGUCGAAAUUGCCUAGUCCUUCGCGAUGAGAUUCAACUUUCAACCACCAUACCUACGUUGUGCUGAAAAAUUCGCAUACAGGCUUUCAAUCAGUCGCCAGGGUGGCUAAUUCGUCGCAGUACCUAUUCAACUUCCAAUCCCGAAGGGCAGGAGUUACAUGGCAUCGCACAAUUCGUUUACAGGUACUUGGAGAUGCUGCCGCCGUAGCUGCUGUUUGCCCGGACUCCCCCUGUUCAU